GUGCUCACUUGAAGAGCACAUAUACUCAAUAUUGGAACAGUACAAAAAAGAUUAGUGUGGUCCCUGCGAAAGGAUGACAUGCAAAUUCAUGAAGCAUUCCAUAUUUUU
ensembl:snRNA U6 U6 spliceosomal RNA